UGACCACAUCCUAUCGGAAGUUAAGGGCAACGGUGUGCCGGGUCAAAUGCCGA
rnacentral:sRNA from 1 species